GGGCAGCUCCUGACAGGCAAACCAAAAGCCCCCAAUCAGUAGCCGUUCCUCAAGCUGUCAAUAGUAUGCUGUAGUUUCUCUUGAGACUCUGAGCCAGAUCUCUAUUGUUUUCUCUCUCUCUCUCUCUCUGUUGAGGGAAGAAGGAAGAGACUGCAACCCUGCUCCUAUAGUGUUGCACUACUUCUCGCUAUACUCUGCAUUUAUUACUGCCAUGCAGGGAAAGUCUGAGAGCAAGACACAGCCCAGGCUGACACUGCAGUCCAAUGGAUAGUUCCAGCGAGAACCAUGUGCCUGCCCUGCCAGAAGCUGAAUUCCACUGAACACAAAGGAAGCUGAGGGUGCUCAAAACUUCGCAGAAGGCCUGAAACACCAGUUAGGAUCAAACUCCAGAUUUGUCCUUCUUUCCAGCUCCUCAUCCCUGCAGCUUGCCCACCCCAUUCCCCAGAGGGUCACCACCGGGACCAGCACGUUCUGUUGUUCGAACGCAGCCAUUGUGAAACCCUCACUUCCAGGGGUGGAGUGCACAGUUGUGAUGCUGGACAAUGCUUUCACCUCAUAUUGCCAUCUUCAUUACCAGAGCACACAUCAUUGACCUCCAUGGAUUAAACCUCAUGAGAACCCUACAAGUGCUGCACAGCCCCUUGGAGCCAUCUGCAGUUGGUGUAAGAGUAGCCCUCAUCCUGGAGGAAGGGAGGAGUGCAAAGACUAGUAUUAUGCCACCAGUGACUGAUUGGGAGCUUCCUGAGGCUGUUCAAGAAGACUGUAAUCCAAUGGUCACAGGCUCCUGAAGGAAAGAGCUGCAGAUGCCCACACCUUGGCAGACC